rnacentral:lncRNA from 1 species
UGAAAGGAAGGAAUGAAAACACAAAAAUGGAAGAAAAUGAAGCAAAGGAAAAAUAACAAGAAAAAGUAACCAAAGAGAAAACCCUAGAAACCCGAAAGAAAAAUUCGUCCAUGAAAUCUGCAAGAUAACCAGGGCCGAGAAAAACCGUAAGAGAACAACCUUCAAACCCGUCCUACUAAUCGGUCGGCCAACUCAGGGGGUGGUUAUCUCUUGCAAUAGCAUGAAAUAGAUUUGAACUCCACUACAAUUCUGACGUUGUUUCUUUGCCAUGAUAAAUCAUACAUUUUUAAUAGUAAAUUAGUUUAUCCGAUCAUGAGAAGUAUAGUUGGCGAACCUGACAAAUUCGUUUCAGUUCAAUUUUCUGUCCUGCUUGUAAACCAAAUUUAUCAUCAUCAUGUCAAUAUAAAUGUCC